rnacentral:misc_RNA from 1 species
GAAAUGCGAUAAGUAAUGUGAAUUGUAGAAUUCCGUGAAUCAUCGAAUCUUUGAACGCACAUUGCGCCCUCUGGCAUUCCGGGGGGCAUGCCUGUCCGAGCGUCAUUACGCACCCUCAAGCCCGGCUUGUGUGAUGGGCCCUGGCGUCUCGUUCGCGAGACGGGCCCGAAAGGCAGCGGCGGCGUCGACCCGAUGAGCCCGAGCGUAUGGGGACUUUUGUCACACGUUUGCGGUGCGGACCGGCGCCUGCUUGACUUUUCUGAUUAUCCAGGUUGACCUCGGAUCAGGUAGUGAUACCCGCUGAACUUAAGC